CAGCAGGUGGGCACUAGCCUGUUCCCCAGCUCUUCUUACCCCACCGGCCGCAGGCAUUUCUAACUAGGAGGCCUUCCUAAGGGUGGAUGGGGCUACUUUGUUCCCCGCCCACUAGAGUAUCUACCCAGUGCACGAGCUGAUAUUCUGGGGCUGGCACAGGGACCCUGAGCUGUGGCCUUGCUGUGAAGUCCUGCAAGAGAAGCUGCUCAGCCUCGGUAGUUUCUGGUGCCCAGUGAGGGGUGGCUGAGACACCCGGCUUGUUCUGGGGCCUGCAGACGAGAUCACGGGACUACUGAUGCAAAGCCACCAGAAGGAAGGCAUUCUCAUCAUGGUUAGCCCCCCUGGAUCUCCAUCUGCAGAGCCCUGUUGAGAGUGGAAGUCCCAGGAAUACCUGUUUCUUCUUACUUGUACUACAUUGUCCUGAGAGCAUGGCUUAUGACAACUGAGAAGACUGAGGGGCAGGUCAGCCUAACUGGACGCUGGUGCCCAGCUGGAGCCUGUGCAUCUUCUGUCGGCCUGUGCCAGCAGCCAUCAGGGGAGUUUGCAGUAAGAGGCUCCUGUCCACAGAGGCUUUUGUCUCGCCCAUUGUUGCUUCAUAGUGCUGGAAAGCACUUGUCCCUGCCAUGGCUGCUGGCUGGGGGUUCUGGCUGGGCCUUGGCUGGGCUGCAUGUUUCUGCAUUCUCUUCAAAAAAUAUCUCCUUUGUCCAUGGUUAAGUCAUAAAAGGCAUUUGGUUCUGAGUCACAUGAAAGGUAUUUUUGGUGUAAGGGAAGGAAAAAAGUUCAGUACUGCCAGGAAUAAUAUUUACUAUUGGUUCCAGUUGAAACCCAACAAUAAGACAUUUGAGUUUUUUUGAGAAGGGGUCUUGCUCUGUCUCUGGGCUGGAGUGAAGUAGCAUCAUCUCAGUUCACUGAGCCUCAAAUUCCUGGCCUCAGGGGAUCCUCCUGCUUGGACCUCCCAGAGUGCUGGGAUUACAGGUGUGAGCCACCAGAGGAUAUUUGAAAGAAUUAUUUAAAAAGAGCUUUAUGGUCAAAAGUUGGCCUAAUUAGAAGUUGACAGUUAGGCCAUAUGUAAUUUUUAAGGCCUCUCUUGUCUCUUAGAUCCUCCUUUUCCCAGGGGAGUGUCUUAGUCAGCAGAAAUACUUUCUCCAAACCCUGUGACUAGACACUCCUCUGACUCUGUCCACUCUGUGCUAGAAUUUACUAGCCCUUGAGAAAGUUUAAGGUCUCCCUACACUGGCUUCUAACACCACCACUUCUUAGCCAACCUUUGUCCCCCACCCAGCUGGCUCCUGGGGUUCCUUGGUCUGUCUGUCCCCGGAAAGCCUGACCUCUCCAACGUUCAUCCCUGCCAGAGCCUACCCCAGCCCCUCAGGCACUGAUCUCUGGGCUCCCGCUCUCCAGGACUCAAGGUCCCCCAAGGCAGCUACCUGAGGCCAAAGGGACAAAGUGAAACAGACCAUGACGAAGCUCAAGGAGGGAAAAUGAACCUACCAUCUCAGUGACCUCUGGCAACAGGCAACCCCCCAACUCCACAUGGAGAAAACGUCUUUCUCUGCCUCGGAGACGUACACUUUCUGUCCUGACUCUUCUACAAUCCAAGUCAUCUUCCUAAAAUACAAACUGUAGGGAGAUAACUGUUAUCAGAAAAAAAAAAAAAAAGAAGGAUCUGGAAACUGGGAAAAUGAAAAGCUUUAGUCAUCUGAGGGGGUAAUAUUAAUUUGUCCCAUUUUGCCAGAAACACAAUUUGGAUAAAAGUAGAAGUGGAGAUAAACCUGUGUGUUUAUAGUCCUAUGCUCUGCUGACUCAUGAAUAAAAGUUUUAAAAUGAAA